rnacentral:rRNA from 1 species
CCUACGGGUGGCAGCAGUGGGGAAUAUUGGGCAAUGGGCGCAAUCCUGAACCAGCAACGCCGCGUGAGGGAAGAAGGCUUUCGGGUUGUAAACUUCUUUUCUCCGGGACGAAACAAGUGACGGUACCUGCGGACUAAGCCACGGCUAACUACGUGCCAGCAGCCACGGUAAUACGUAGGUGGCAAGCGUUCUCCGGAUUUACUGGGUGUAAAGGGCGUGUAGGCGGGAAAGCAAGUCAGAUGUUAAAACCAUGGGCUCAACCUGUGGCCGGGCUUUGAACCUGUUAUUCUUGAGUACUGGAGAGGCAGACGGAAUGCGUGGUGUAGCGGUGAAAUGCAUAGAUAUCAGGAGGAACACCAGUGGCGAAGGCGGUCUGCGGGA